UACGUAGGGUCCGAGCGUUGUCCGGAAUUAUUGGGCGUAAAGAGCUCGUAGGCGGUGUGUCGCGUCGGCCGUGAAAACCUGCAGCUUAACUGUGGGCUUGCGGUCGAUACGGGCAUCACUGGAGUUCGGCAGGGGAGACUGGAAUUCCUGGUGUAGCGGUGAAAUGCGCAGAUAUCAGGAGGAACACCGGUGGCGAAGGCGGGUCUCUGGGCCGAUACUGACGCUCAUGCACGAAAGCGUGGGGAGCAAACAGG
rnacentral:rRNA from 1 species